GGAACUCGGCAAAAUGACCCCGUAACUUAGGGAUAAGGGGUGCCACCAUCAGGUGGCCGCAGAGAAUAGGCCCAAGCGACUGUUUACCAAAAACAUAGGUUUCUGCUAAGUCGCAAGACGAUGUAUAGGAGCUGACGCCUGCCCGGUGCUGGAAGGUUAAGGGGAUCUGUUAGAGCAAUCGAAGCAGUGAACUUAAGCCCCAGUAAACGGCGGCCGUAACUAUAACGGUCCUAAGGUAGCGAAAUUCCUUGUCGGGUAAGUUCCGACCCGCACGAAAGGCGUAACGAUUUGGGCACUGUCUCAACAACAGACUCGGUGAAAUUGUAAUUCCGGUGAAGAUGCCGGAUACCUGCGACAGGACGGAAAGACCCCAUGGAGCUUUACUGUAGCUUGACAUUGGGUCUUGGUACUACAUGUACAGGAUAGGUGGGAGGCUUUGAAACCAGGACGCCAGUUUUGGCGGAGCCAUCCUUGGGAUACCACCCUUGUAGUACUGGGACUCUAACCAUAGGCCAUGAAUCUGGUCUUGGGACACUGUCAGGUGGGCAGUUUGACUGGGGCGGUCGCCUCCCAAAAGGUAACGGAGGCGCUCAAAGGUUCUCUCAGUACGGUCGGAAAUCGUACGUAGAGUGUAAAGGCAAAAGAGAGCUUGAUUGCAAGACAUACAGGUCGAGCAAGGAUGAAAAUCGGACUUAGUGAUCCGGUGGUUCUGCGUGGAAGGGCCAUCGCUCAACGGAUAAAAGCUACCCUGGGGAUAACAGGCUUAUCUCCCCCAAGAGUCCACAUCGACGGGGAGGUUUGGCACCUCGAUGUCGGCUCAUCACAUCCUGGGGCUGUAGUAGGUCCCAAGGGUUGGGCUGUUCGCCCAUUAAAGUGGUACGCGAGCUGGGUUCAGAACGUCGUGAGACAGUUCGGUCCCUAUCCGUCGCAGGCGUAGGAAAUUUGAGAAGACCUGUCCUUAGUACGAGAGGACCGGGAUGGACG
rnacentral:rRNA from 1 species